UGGAGGAGGUGAAGGUGAGGGCAGUCUCUCUACGAACUCAGUACUCCAGACUGCUGAAGCCUCUGCGCAGCGGGAGGAAGAAUAAAGCCCUGACACCCAGACAGAAGAGGAUCCUCACGUCCCUGAAGUUCCUAGAAAAACAUGUCAUCUCUCGCUCCACUGACAGCAACGUCAUCAAAUACAGACGCGAGUGGUGUUCAGUUAGUUGUGAUCUGCAACUUCACAGCUAGAUGCCACUAAAUCCUACACAUAGCUCGACCAAUCCCCAAAAGACAUGCUGACUACACAACAGGACAGCGACGACAGCGAGCCAGACAACACAGCCUUUUCCCCGGACCUGGAUUCCGGCAGGUCCCGCUCACCUGCAGAGAAUGCUGCUGCUGUUAGGACCACCUGGUCCGUGGAGAAGGAGGACCGCUUUUUAGAGCUGUGGCAGCAGCAUGAAUGUCUGUACAACCUGACCGGAGACAGAUUUUACGACAGGAUCGAGAGGGAAAAGAAAUGGUCUGAAAUCGCUACUGCUCUGGAACUUCCAGUUGAGGAUGUGAAGACGAGGGCCAGCACGCUACGAACUCAGUAUUCCAAACUGGUGAAACCGCGGGGUUCUGGGAAGAAGAAGAGGCCGCUGACAUUAAGGCAGAGGAGGAUCCUGAAAUCCUGUGAAUUCCUCAAAAAAUAUAUCAGCCAUCGCUCUUCUGAAGACAAUCUUGGCCAGUCGAUAAAAGAGGCGCUGAUGACACAGCAGGACAGCAGCAACAGCGAGCCAGAGAACACUGCGCCGUCCCAGGACUUUGAUGGUGCGGCGUCACCUUCACCCACCGAGAGUUCCUCUGUGUCACCUCUCCCCCCUCAGCCCUCUAGAAAACAGCCAAAAACCCAAAACAGAAACGACACGGAGAGGCAGAAAGUUGCGUUGUUGCAGCACAUGGUCGAUGUUAUUCAGGAGACCAGCAGACAACCGGAGAGAGACUGCGAGGACUCUUUUGGCGUCACCGUCGCAAUGGAACUGAAGAGGAUACGGAACCCGGUGCUGAGGAACAGGGUCAAAAGAGAAAUAAUGACUAUACUGUAUGAUGCGCUUGACUCUGAGCAUGUAACUGACCCAGUCUCAUACCAACCCCAGCUCAUACCAAAGGAAGAAUCCCACUCUAUAACCGUAGUCACUCUAUAA
rnacentral:lncRNA from 15 species